GAUGAACGCUGGCGGCGUGCUUAACACAUGCAAGUCGAGCGAACAGAUUAGGAGCUUGCUCCGCUCACGUUAGCGGCGCACGGGUGAGUAACACGUGGAUAACCUACCUAUAAGGCUGGUAUAACUUCGAGAAGCCGUAGCUAAUACCGGAUAAUAUAUUGAACCGCAUGGUUCAAUAGUGAAAGACGGUUUUGCUGUCACUUAUAGCUGGAUCCGCGCUGCAUUAGCUAGUUGGUUAGGAAACGGCCUACCAAGGGAACGAGUCGUAGCCGACCCGAGCGGGGGAUCGGCCACCCUGGAACUGAGACACGGUCCAGGCUCCUGCGGGAGGCAGCAGUAGGGAAUCUUACGCAAUGGGCGAAAGCCUGACGGAGCAACGCCGCGUGAGUGAUGAAGGUCUUCGGAUCGUAAAACUCUGUUAUUAGUGAAGAACAAAUGUGUAAGUAAAUAUGCCCGUCUUGACGGUACCUAGUCAAAAAGCCACGGCUAACUACGUG
rnacentral:rRNA from 1 species